UUUGGUUAAGUUAGAAAGGGCGCACGGUGGAUGCCUUGACACUAGGAGUCGAUGAAGGACGGGACUAACGCCGAUAUGCUUCGGGGAGCUGUAAGUAAGCUUUGAUCCGAAGAUUUCCGAAUGGGGAAACCCACCAUACGUAAUGGUAUGGUAUCCUUAUCUGAAUACAUAGGGUAAGGAAGACAGACCCAGGGAACUGAAACAUCUAAGUACCUGGAGGAAGAGAAAGCAAAUGCGAUUUCCUGAGUAGCGGCGAGCGAAACGGAACAUAGCCCAAACCAAGAGGCUUGCCUCUUGGGGUUGUAGGACAUUCUAUACGGAGUUACAAAGGAACGAGGUAGACGAAGCGACCUGGAAAGGUCCGUCGUAGAGGGUAACAACCCCGUAGUCGAAACUUCGUUCUCUCUUGAAUGUAUCCUGAGUACGGCGGAACACGUGAAAUUCCGUCGGAAUCUGGGAGGACCAUCUCCCAAGGCUAAAUACUCCCUAGUGAUCGAUAGUGAACCAGUACCGUGAGGGAAAGGUGAAAAGCACCCCGGAAGGGGAGUGAAAGAGAUCCUGAAACCGUGUGCCUACAAAUAGUCAGAGCCCGUUAACGGGUGAUGGCGUGCCUUUUGUAGAAUGAACCGGCGAGUUACGAUCCCGUGCGAGGUUAAGCUGAAGAGGCGGAGCCGCAGCGAAAGCGAGUCUGAAUAGGGCGUUUAGUACGUGGUCGUAGACCCGAAACCAGGUGAUCUACCCAUGUCCAGGGUGAAGUUCAGGUAACACUGAAUGGAGGCCCGAACCCACGCACGUUGAAAAGUGCGGGGAUGAGGUGUGGGUAGCGGAGAAAUUCCAAUCGAACCUGGAGAUAGCUGGUUCUCCCCGAAAUAGCUUUAGGGCUAGCCUUAAGUGUAAGAGUCUUGGAGGUAGAGCACUGAUUGGACUAGGGGUCCUCAUCGGAUUACCGAAUUCAGUCAAACUCCGAAUGCCAAUGACUUAUCCUUAGGAGUCAGACUGCGAGUGAUAAGAUCCGUAGUCAAAAGGGAAACAGCCCAGACCGCCAGCUAAGGUCCCAAAGUGUGUAUUAAGUGGAAAAGGAUGUGGAGUUGCUUAGACAACUAGGAUGUUGGCUUAGAAGCAGCCACCAUUUAAAGAGUGCGUAAUAGCUCACUAGUCGAGUGACUCUGCGCCGAAAAUGUACCGGGGCUAAAUACACCACCGAAGCUGCGGAUUGAUACCAAUGGUAUCAGUGGUAGGGGAGCGUUCUAAGGACAGUGAAGUCAGACCGGAAGGACUGGUGGAGUGCUUAGAAGUGAGAAUGCCGGUAUGAGUAGCGAAAGACGGGUGAGAAUCCCGUCCACCGAAUGCCUAAGGUUUCCUGAGGAAGGCUCGUCCGCUCAGGGUUAGUCAGGACCUAAGCCGAGGCCGACAGGCGUAGGCGAUGGACAACAGGUUGAUAUUCCUGUACCACCUCUUUAUCGUUUGAGCAAUGGAGGGACGCAGAAGGAUAGAAGAAGCGUGCGAUUGGUUGUGCACGUCCAAGCAGUUAGGCUGAUAAGUAGGCAAAUCCGCUUAUCGUGAAGGCUGAGCUGUGAUGGGGAAGCUCCUUAUGGAGCGAAGUCUUUGAUUCCCCGCUGCCAAGAAAAGCUUCUAGCGAGAUAAAAGGUGCCUGUACCGCAAACCGACACAGGUAGGCGAGGAGAGAAUCCUAAGGUGUGCGAGAGAACUCUGGUUAAGGAACUCGGCAAAAUGACCCCGUAACUUCGGGAGAAGGGGUGCUUUCUUAACGGAAAGCCGCAGUGAAUAGGCCCAAGCGACUGUUUAGCAAAAACACAGCUCUCUGCGAAGCCGUAAGGCGAAGUAUAGGGGUGACACCUGCCCGGUGCUGGAAGGUUAAGGAGAGGGGUUAGCGUAAGCGAAGCUCUGAACUGAAGCCCCAGUAAACGGCGGCCGUAACUAUAACGGUCCUAAGGUAGCGAAAUUCCUUGUCGGGUAAGUUCCGACCCGCACGAAAGGUGUAACGAUUUGGGCACUGUCUCAACCAGAGACUCGGUGAAAUUAUAGUACCUGUGAAGAUGCAGGUUACCCGCGACAGGACGGAAAGACCCCGUGGAGCUUUACUGUAGCCUGAUAUUGAAUUUUGGUACAGUUUGUACAGGAUAGGCGGGAGCCUUUGAAACCGGAGCGCUAGCUUCGGUGGAGGCGCUGGUGGGAUACCGCCCUGACUGUAUUGAAAUUCUAACCUACGGGUCUUAUCGACCCGGGAGACAGUGUCAGGUGGGCAGUUUGACUGGGGCGGUCGCCUCCUAAAGUGUAACGGAGGCGCCCAAAGGUUCCCUCAGAAUGGUUGGAAAUCAUUCGUAGAGUGCAAAGGCAUAAGGGAGCUUGACUGCGAGACCUACAAGUCGAGCAGGGACGAAAGUCGGGCUUAGUGAUCCGGUGGUUCCGCAUGGAAGGGCCAUCGCUCAACGGAUAAAAGCUACCCCGGGGAUAACAGGCUUAUCUCCCCCAAGAGUCCACAUCGACGGGGAGGUUUGGCACCUCGAUGUCGGCUCAUCGCAUCCUGGGGCUGUAGUCGGUCCCAAGGGUUGGGCUGUUCGCCCAUUAAAGCGGUACGCGAGCUGGGUUCAGAACGUCGUGAGACAGUUCGGUCCCUAUCCGUCGUGGGCGUAGGAAAUUUGAGAGGAGCUGUCCUUAGUACGAGAGGACCGGGAUGGACGCACCGCUGGUGUACCAGUUGUUCUGCCAAGGGCAUAGCUGGGUAGCUAUGUGCGGAAGGGAUAAGUGCUGAAAGCAUCUAAGCAUGAAGCCCCCCUCAAGAUGAGAUUUCCCAUAGCGUAAGCUAGUAAGAUCCCUGAAAGAUGAUCAGGUUGAUAGGUUCGAGGUGGAAGCAUGGUGACAUGUGGAGCUGACGAAUACUAAUAGAUCGAGGACUUAACCAUAUAA
rnacentral:rRNA from 1 species